rnacentral:rRNA from 1 species
GACGUAGGGCGCAAGCGUUGUCCGGAUUUAUUGGGCGUAAAGAGCUCGUAGGCGGCUUGUCACGUCGUCCGUGAAAACUUCAGGCUUAACCUGGAGCGUGCGGUCGAUACGGGCUGGCUAGAGGCAGGUAGGGGAGAUCGGAAUUCCUGGUGUAGCGGUGAAAUGCGCAGAUAUCAGGAGGAACACCGGUGGCGAAGGCGGAUCUCUGGGCCUGUACUGACGCUGAGGAGCGAAAGCGUGGGGAGCGAACAGG